GUAUAUUUAGCACAUACUAACUAAACUGCAUACUUAUGUAUACUUUAUGUCCUACUACUUACUGCAUACUAAUGUAUUCCUAGCACAUACUAAAUUAACUGCAUACUAAUGUAUACCUUAUGUAAUACUACUUACUGCAUACUACUGUAUGCUUAGCACAUACUAACUAAACUGCAUACUUAUGUAUACUUUAUGUCCUACUACUUACUACAUACUAAUGCAUACUUUGUCAU